rnacentral:rRNA from 1 species
UACGAAGGGGGCUAGCGUUGUUCGGAAUCACUGGGCGUAAAGGGCGCGUAGGCGGCUUUGUAAGUCGGGGGUGAAAGCCUGUGGCUCAACCACAGAAUUGCCUUCGAUACUGUAGAGCUUGAGACCGGAAGAGGUUAGUGGAACUGCGAGUGUAGAGGUAGUAAAUUCGUAGAUAUUCGCAAGAACACCAGUGGCGAAGGCGGCUGACUGGUCCGGUUCUGACGCUGAGGCGCGAAAGCGUGGGGAGCAAACAGG